UCCUGUUAUUGCCUGCCAUCACGGUGCCCUUGUGCAGGGACCUCGAUGCCAAUCUCAUCUCCCUUCCCUCUCCAACCUUCUCUCUUUAAAGGGACUGGAGAAUAUGGCUUGUUCUUCCUUGCAUCAACCACAAGAAAGAUGGCAUGAGAACAUGAUGGAAUUUUCAAUGACCAUGACCAUGAGGGUGCUGUGCUAAGCUGGAUGAGGUACAAAAACAGAUUGCUUGACACACAUACUGAUGUCGUAUUAGCAUCAUAUUCCUCCUACAAAGUGAGGUGAUUGGUAAUUUUCGAUCCGGGCAGACCAAUCCUCUUUUUGUGGUUCAGGUACUCCUCCUCUUAAGCCACCUACUCUUCUUUUCGAUCUGACAAGAGAUCGAUACAAGUCUGGUACAUGAGAUAAUAUUUGUUGAGCAGUUCCAUUUUGUUGGCAUGUUGAAGAAAUAAUAUAAGCUGCAAAACUGUGCUACCAUAUUAUAAAUGGAAGCACAACCAUGCAGAGUGUGGAUGAAGGGAGAGUUGCCACCGGACUCCUUGGAAUGAGAGAAAGCUUAUAUUAAGGCGCAAGAGUGAGAACUCUCUGAGCACCAACUUCCAUGGUUUUUUAUGUGUACAACAAGUAAGGUGGGGGGCAUUGGAAUGGUUGCCAGUAGUCAUCGUCAUUUUUAUAUAUAGCUUCUUGUCUGUCCGAAAGGCUAUCAUGCAAGAAAGUAAGUAAAGGCUUUGUUAACUUCAAGGAUUUGUCGGAUAUUGAUCUGAGGUGUAUGAUCAAGUAUCGAUAUCCAAAUACAUCAUUUGAUA